rnacentral:lncRNA from 1 species
CCGGAACCAAUUGAAUGCAAAUGAUGACUCAACAAAUGCAUCUAACUUCUAUAGAAAUGCAACGUGUGAAGAAAUAAGAAGUGGCAUGAACACAAUUAGAUUCAACAAUUUAACUAAUGAAGAAAAGGCAUAUUGCACUAAAACAAAACAACAUUUAAAUUAAAAACAAAGAAGUAAAAUGUUCCUUGCAGCAGUGUUCCUUUUCUCAAAGAAAGAAACGUGAAUUCCCACCAUCAUGACCG